rnacentral:misc_RNA from 1 species
AAAAAAACAAUCAAGAAGAUAAUAAUGUCUGGUACUACAAAAGCAAAUGAUUUUGAAGAUAUGUUGCCUAUGAUGGCAAAUAAGCUUGGUGGGGAUGGUUUAAUUAGAGAGCUGUGUAAUGGGUUUAGGCUAUUAAUGGAUAAGGAAAGAGGGGUUAUAACUUUUGAGAGUUUGAAGAAGAAUUCAGCACUUCUUGGGUUACAAAAUUUGAGAGAUGAUGAGUUGAUGAGUAUGUUAAGAGAAGGUGAUUUGAAUGGAGAUGGUCAUCUUGAUCAGAUGGAGUUUUGUGUACUUAUGUUUAGAUUGAGUCCUCAAUUGAUGGAACAAUCUCAAGAUUUGCUUGAAAUUGCUCUGCAACAUGAACUUAAAAGCUAAUUCAG